CGCUGAGAUUCCGGGCCCGGCGGCCGCGGGGAGCGGGUGUCCGUGAGGAGCCGGGCAGCCGGCCUCCUCUCUUUGCCUUUUGGGGGUUCUUUUUGUAAUAGCAGCAGACUAGAAAAGCGAGCCGGCUUGGAGGGAGUCCGCCCGGGGAUCCGAGCGCGCAUUCAUCAGUGUCGAGAGAAAAAAAGCUACAUAAAUAUAUAUUAUGUGGAUAAAUCUAUAGACAAGAGCUCUCUCGCG
rnacentral:lncRNA from 1 species